rnacentral:lncRNA from 1 species
AUAAAAUUCACCCAGCGGACGUCCCCCACGGCCGGCCCCCAGGGAGUCAACGCAAACAGCUUGCCUGGCCCCCGCGUGGUGCACAGCGAGCGGGGGGGUCUCUGGCACGGCGGGCGGUGGGGACCUGCCAGGGAGCCCUGCGGUUAGCGUUGCCCGCUGCCCUCGUCCCGUGGCGAGCAUGAAACAUGCUGCUGCCUCCGCUGCCGGGGCCUCUCCCUCUGCCCGGCGUGGCCCUGGGGCUGCGGGGAAGGCAUUACUCCCUCCUGGCCUGCUUUCUCAUCAGUUUGCUAGCAGCCGAGCCUGUCCUGCACGCCUCGACCCCGCUGUCUGCCUUGGCUGAUUACGUGUUCCUCAAACUCUUUGAGCCCCCAAAGCAUUUGCUCAGCCCUACCAGAAAGCGCACCUACUGCAAACCCGCUUUACCUCGUGUGAGGAAACUGAGCACCAGCCAGCAGCAAAAAACUGGUGAUGACUCAGUGGCCAGUGCUGCUGCUGGGCAGCGUGCCGAAGGGGACCAAAAAGUGCUGAGCCAGAGCUUCCUCCCUCAGCAGCCUCACAAGCCCGCAGCCGGUCCCCUUGACGGGUAGAGGAAACACACAGCUGCUGUUACUGAACACAGACUCCAAAAAAGGGUUUAUUCCACUGUGAAGUUACGAUGGCCUUGACCUGCUUUGCAGCCACCGCGACGCUCUGCCAGGCUGCCAAAUCGAGUGAUACCAAACAGCCAAAUCCACCCAAUGGCAGCAAAGCAAAGGCACGGGUUCCCGUGGGACCGGCUGUGCUUCCUGCCUCGGAGCAACGUCAGGUCGCGGCUUCCUCCUGAUCCUGGCUGGGCUGCAGCAGCUGCUCCCCUGGGCCAGCUCUGCCCAGCCUUGGAGAAAACAGCACCCAGGACAGACAGACCUCCGAAUGCUCUUAACCCUGCCCAAAUCAGAGCAGCAAUGAGCAGAGAGAGCGUGAGUUUAGUGAGCUUCCCCAAAUACAUAUGCUUUGCAGCUGCACAGCCGAGGAACGGUUGUGUCUUCUUGGACAUGUUGAAGGACUUGUAUGCCUGAAAGCCUGGCUGUUAUUUGUCUAAUUAUAUAAUUUGGCUUAAUAAAAGCUAUUACCUCUCCA